GAUGUUCUUCGGGGUAGGGUGAAAUUCCCAAUCGGCGGUGAUGAAGCAAUUCAAAGUCCGUGAGCGCAAGCUGAUUUGGUGCAAAUCCAAAACCGACAGUGAUAGUCUGGAUGGGAGAAGAACAAA
rnacentral:ncRNA from 15 species